rnacentral:rRNA from 1 species
GGCAGCGCGGGGCAACCUGGCGGCGAGUGGCGAACGGGUGAGUAAUAUAUCGGAACGUACCCAGAAGUGGGGGAUAACGUAGCGAAAGUUACGCUAAUACCGCAUACGAUCUACGGAUGAAAGUGGGGGACCUUCGGGCCUCAUGCUUGUGGAGCGGCCGAUAUCUGAUUAGCUAGUUGGUAGGGUAAAGGCCCACCAAGGCGACGAUCAGUAGCUGGUCUGAGAGGACGACCAGCCACACUGGGACUGAGACACGGCCCAGACUCCUACGGGAGGCAGCAGUGGGGAAUUUUGGACAAUGGGCGCAAGCCUGAUCCAGCAAUGCCGCGUGAGUGAAGAAGGCCUUCGGGUUGUAAAGCUCUUUUGUCAGGGAAGAAACGGCUGAGGCUAAUAUCCUCGGCUAAUGACGGUACCUGAAGAAUAAGCACCGGCUAACUACGUGCCAGCAGCCGCGGUAAUACGUAGGGUGCAAGCGUUAAUCGGAAUUACUGGGCGUAAAGCGUGCGCAGGCGGUUUUGUAAGUCUGUCGUGAAAGCCCCGGGCUCAACCUGGGAAUUGCGAUGGAGACUGCAAGGCUUGAAUCUGGCAGAGGGGGGUAGAAUUCCACGUGUAGCAGUGAAAUGCGUAGAGAUGUGGAGGAACACCGAUGGCGAAGGCAGCCCCCUGGGUCAAGAUUGACGCUCAUGCACGAAAGCGUGGGGAGCAAACAGGAUUAGAUA